GCCCGGCUGGCUUAGUGGGUAGAACGUGUGACUCUUGAUCUCAGAGUUGUGGGUUCGAGCCCCACGCUGGGCA